rnacentral:rRNA from 1 species
CCUACGGGGGACAGCAGUGAGGAAUAUUGGUCAAUGGGCGAGAGCCUGAACCAGCCAAGUCGCGUGAGGGAGUACUGCCCUAUGGGUUGUAAACCUCUUUUGUCGGGGAGCAACAGCCGGACGUGUCCGGCUGUGAGAGUACCCGAAGAAAAAGCAUCGGCUAACUCCGUGCCAGCAGCCGCGGUAAUACGGGGGAUGCGAGCGUUAUCCGGAUUUAUUGGGGUUAAAGGGUGCGCAGGCGGAUGUUUAAGUCAGCGGUCAAAUUGUGGGGCUCAACCCCAUCCAGCCGUUGAAACUGGGGAUCUAGAGUGUGCGAGAGGUAUGCGGAAUGCGUGGUGUAGCGGUGAAAUGCAUAGAUAUCACGCAGAACCCCGAUUGCGAAGGCAGCAUACCGGUGCACAACUGACGCUCAGGCACGAAAGCGUGGGUAUCGAACAGGAUUAGAUACCCCUGUAGUC